GGCGGGUCUUACACAUGCAGUCGUAACAUGGUAACACUUCGGGGUGGAUUAGUGGCGAACGGGUGAGUAACACGUGGGCAAUCUGCCCUGCACUCUGGGACAAGCCCUGGAAACGGGGUCUAAUACCGGAUAACACCCUCGCAGGCAUCUGCGAGGGUUAAAAGCUCCGGCGGUGCAGGAUGAGCCCGCGGCCUAUCAGCUUGUUGGUGAGGUAAUGGCUCACCAAGGCGACGACGGGUAGCCGGCCUGAGAGGGCGACCGGCCACACUGGGACUGAGACACGGCCCAGACUCCUACGGGAGGCAGCAGUGGGGAAUAUUGCACAAUGGGCGAAAGCCUGAUGCAGCGACGCCGCGUGAGGGAUGACGGCCUUCGGGUUGUAAACCUCUUUCAGCAGGGAAGAAGCGAAAGUGACGGUACCUGCAAAAGAAGCGCCGGCUAACUACGUGCCAGCAGCCGCGGUAAUACGUAGGGCGCAAGCGUUGUCCGGAAUUAUUGGGCGUAAAGAGCUCGUAGGCGGCUUGUCACGUCGAUUGUGAAAGCCCGAGGCUUAACCUCGGGUCUGCAGUCGAUACGGGCUAGCUAGAGUGUGGUAGGGGAGAUCGGAAUUCCUGGUGUAGCGGUGAAAUGCGCAGAUAUCAGGAGGAACACCGGUGGCGAAGGCGGAUCUCUGGGCCAUUACUGACGCUGAGGAGCGAAAGCGUGGGGAGCGAACAGGAUUAGAUACCCUGGUAGUCCACGCCGUAACGGUGGGAACUAGGUGUUGGCGACAUUCCACG
rnacentral:rRNA from 1 species